UUUGUUUAUUGACUUGGUUGAGUGGGAUCCAUUUUUUCGGUACCAGCAAAGGAGCAAAAUUGUUUUCUUGCGAGGAAAAUUUUCUGCUAAAGGGCAUGUUUUGGCCGAAGGAUUCAAAGAGGAAACACAAAUGGAUUCACUAGGGCCACACAAUGGCGUGGCUGCGUGCUGGAUUCUGCCAAUUGUUUUGUGGAUUAAAAUUAAUACUGACGAUAUGGUUAACCCGUUUCGAGCAUAGCCUCCUCUGGAGACUGGAGGUGUGAUGAGAAACGGUAAGGGCAAGUGUAUGUUUGCGGUGGAGCUUUGGGCAAUCAAAGACGAC
rnacentral:lncRNA from 1 species